rnacentral:rRNA from 1 species
AUACGGAGGGUGCAAGCGUUAAUCGGAAUUACUGGGCGUAAAGCGUGCGUAGGUGGUUUGUUAAGUUAGAUGUGAAAGCCCCGGGCUCAACCUGGGAGCUGCAUUUGAAACUGGCAUACUAGAGUAUAGGAGAGGAAAGUGGAAUUUCAGGUGUAGCGGUGAAAUGCGUAGAUAUCUGAAGGAACAUCAAUGGCGAAGGCAGCUUUCUGGACUAAUACUGACACUGAGGCACGAAAGCGUGGGUAGCAAACAGGAUUAGAAACCCUAGUAGUCC